rnacentral:rRNA from 1 species
AUUGAACGCUGGCGGCAGGCUUAACACAUGCAAGUCGAGCGGAGAUGAGGUGCUUGCACCUUAUCUUAGCGGCGGACGGGUGAGUAAUGCUUAGGAAUCUGCCUAUUAGUGGGGGACAACAUUCCGAAAGGAAUGCUAAUACCGCAUACGUCCUACGGGAGAAAGCAGGGGAUCUUCGGACCUUGCGCUAAUAGAUGAGCCUAAGUCGGAUUAGCUAGUUGGUGGGGUAAAGGCCUACCAAGGCGACGAUCUGUAGCGGGUCUGAGAGGAUGAUCCGACACACUGGGACUGAGACACGGCCCAGACUCCUACGGGAGGCAGCAGUGGGGAAUAUUGGACAAUGGGGGGAACCCUGAUCCAGCCAUGCCGCGUGUGUGAAGAAGGCCUUAUGGUUGUAAAGCACUUUAAGCGAGGAGGAGGCUACUGAGACUAAUACUCUUGGAUAGUGGACGUUACUCGCAGAAUAAGCACCGGCUAACUCUGUGCCAGCCGCCGCGGUAA